UAGCCUACGGGGGGCAGCAGUGGGGAAUAUUGCACAAUGGGGGGAACCCUGAUGCAGCGACGCCGCGUGAGUGAAGAAGUAUUUCGGUAUGUAAAGCUCUAUAAGCAGGGAAGAAGAUGACGGUACCUGACUAAGAAGCCCCGGCUAACUACGUGCCAGCAGCCGCGGUAAUACGUAGGGGGCAAGCGUUAUCCGGAUUUACUGGGUGUAAAGGGAGCGUAGACGGCAGGGCAAGUCUGGAGUGAAAGCCCGGGGCCC
rnacentral:rRNA from 1 species